ACAGCAGUCGCCACGGUAAAACGGAGGGUGCAAGCGUUAAUCGGAAUUACUGGGCGUAAAGCGCACGCAGGCGGUCUGACAAGUCAGAUGUGAAAUCCCCGGGCUUAACCUGGGAACUGCAUUUGAAACUGUCAGGCUGGAGUCUUGUAGAGGGGGGUGGAAUUCCAGGUGUAGCGGUGAAAUGCGUAGAGAUCUGGAGGAAUACCGGUGGCGAAGGCGGCCCCCUGGACAAAGACUGACGCUCAGGUGCGAAAGCGUGGGGAGCAAACAGGAUUAGAUACCCGCGUAGUCCCUGUCUCUUAUAA
rnacentral:rRNA from 1 species